GUAACAUCUGGAAACAGGUGCUAAUACCGCAUAACAACGAAAACCACAUGGUUUCGUUUCAAAGAUGGUUUCGGCUAUCACUUCAGGAUGGGCCCGCGGUGCAUUAGCUAGUUGGUAAGGUAACGGCUUACCAAGGCAAUGAUGCAUAGCCGAGUUGAGAGACUGAUCGGCCACAAUGGAACUGAGACACGGUCCAUACUCCUACGGGAGGCAGCAGGU
rnacentral:rRNA from 1 species